ensembl:processed_transcript Gm16938 predicted gene, 16938
GCCAGUUCUGGCUGGGUCACCUUAGAGAGAGGCUGCCUUCCCUUCUGCUGCUGGGGCUCAUCUGUGUGAAGUCUGGGGCUGACUCUCACCACAGGAAAGACUGCCAGGGGAAAUGAGCACCUGUUAUUGCUCUUCAGCCCCACUCCACCCCUGGGCCCCCUUAGGGGGACCUUUCCUACACUCCCCACCCCUAAUCCUGACAGCUGGAGGUAGGAUCAAUCCUGAAUAGUCUCCGAAAAAAAGCCAGUUUCUGCCAGACCCGCCUUGCUCCCAGUGCCACACACCCAGCCCUGAAGCCUCAGCAUGUCUCUGUCCAGAAGCCCUUGGUCCACAAAGCAGAUCUGGAUCAAGGGCUCACUCCACCAGUUACCGA